GAUGAAGAACGUAGCGAAAUGCGAUAAGUAGUGUGAAUUGCAGAAUUCAGUGAAUCAUCGAAUCUUUGAACGCACAUUGCGCCCCAUGGUAUUCCGUGGGGCAUGCCUGUUCGAGCGUCAUUUACCCCCUCAAGCUCCGCUUGGUGUUGGGCGUCUGUCCCGCUUCGCGCGCGGACUCGCCCCAAAGGUAUUGGCAGCGGUCGUGCCAGCUUCUCGCGCAGCACAUUGCGCUUCUCGAGGCACCGGUGGGCCCGCGUCCAUCAAGCUCACCCCCCCAGUUUGACAUCGGAUCAGGUAGGGAUACCCGCUGAACUUAAGCAUAUCAAUAAGCGGAGGA
rnacentral:misc_RNA from 1 species